rnacentral:misc_RNA from 1 species
UCCGGCUUAUCACCGGCAGUCCCACUAGAGUGCCCAACUUAAUGAUGGCAACUAAUGUCAAGGGUAGGUAAGGUUUUUCGCGUUGCAUCGAAUUAAACCACAUCAUCCACCGCUUGUGCGGGCCCCCGUCAAUUCCUUUGAGUUUUAAUCUUGCGACCGUACUCCCCAGGCGGAUGACUUCGCGCGUUAGCUGCGUUACUAAGGGAUUUAACUCCCCCAACAACUAGUCAUCAUCGUUUAGGGCGUGGACUAC